ACGCUUACCUGGCAGGGGAGAUACCAUGAUCACAAAGGUGGUUUUCCCAAAGCAAGCUUAUCCAUUGUACUGCAGAUGUGUUGACCCCUGUGAUUUCCCCAAAUGUGGGAAACUCAACUGCAUAAUCUAUGAUAGUGGGGGACUGUGCUCAUGCUUUCCCCUG
ensembl:snRNA U1 U1 spliceosomal RNA